CACGUAGGGGGCAAGCGUUGUCCUGAUUUAUUGGGCGUAAAGAGCUCGUAGGUGGUUCGGUAAGUCGGGUGUUAAACCCCCAGGCUCAACCUGGGGACGCCACUCGAUACUGCUGUGACUAGAGUCCGGUAGGGGAGCGUGGAAUUCCUGGUGUAGCGGUGAAAUGCGCAGAUAUCAGGAGAAACACCAGCGGCGAAGGCGGCGCUCUGGGCCGGUACUGACACUGAGGAGCGAAAGCGUGGGUAGCAAACAGG
rnacentral:rRNA from 1 species